rnacentral:rRNA from 1 species
UACGUAGGCGGAAGAUUAAGUCAGUGGUGAAAUCCUGCAGCUUAACUGUAGAACUGUCAUUGAUACUGGUUUUCUUGAAUUUAGUUGAGGUAGGCGGAAUGUGUAAUGUAGCGGUGAAAUGCUUAGAUAUUACACAGAACACCGAUUGCGAAGGCAGCUUACUAAACUAUGAUUGACGCUGAGGUACGAAAGCGUGGGGAGCGAACAGGAUAAGAUACCCUGGUAGUCC